rnacentral:rRNA from 1 species
GACGAACGCUGGCGGCGUGCUUAACACAUGCAAGUCGAACGGAAAGGCCCUGCUUUUGUGGGGUGCUCGAGUGGCGAACGGGUGAGUAACACGUGAGUAACCUGCCCUUGACUUGGUGAUAACUUCAGGAAACUGGUGCUAAUACCGGAUAGGAGCUCCUGCUGCAUGGUGGGGGUUGGAAAGUUUCGGCGGUUGGGGAUGGACUCGCGGCUUAUCAGCUUGUUGGUGGGGUAGUGGCUUACCAAGGCUUUGACGGGUAGCCGGCAUGAGAGGGUGACCGGCGACAUUGGGACUGAGAUACGGCCCAGAGUCCUACGGGAGACAGCAGUGGGGAAUAUUGCACAAUGGGCGGAAGCCUGAUGAAGCAACGCCGCGUGCGGGAUGACGGCCUUCGGGUUGUAAACCGCUUUAGCCUGUGACGAAGCGUGAGUGACGGUAAUGGGUAAAGAAGCACCGGCUAACUACGUG